rnacentral:rRNA from 1 species
CCUACGGGUGGCUGCAGUGGGGAAUAUUGGACAAUGGGCGCAAGCCUGAUCCAGCCAUGCCGCGGGAGUGACGAAGGCCCUAGGGUUGUAAAGCUCUUUUGUGCGGGAAGAUAAUGACGGUACCGCAAGAAUAAGCCCCGGCUAACUUCGUGCCAGCAGCCGCGGUAAUACGAAGGGGGCGAGCGUUGCUCGGAAUCACUGGGCGUAAAGGGUGCGUAGGCGGGUCUUUAAGUCAGGGGUGAAAUCCUGGAGCUCAACUCCCGAACUGCCUUUGAUACUGAAGAUCUUGAGUUCGGGAGAGGUGAGUGGAACUGCGAGUGUAGAGGUGAAAUUCGUAGAUAUUCGCAAGAACACCAGUGGCGAAGGCGGCUCACUGGCCCGAUACUGACGCUGAGGCACGAAAGCGUGGGGAGCAAACAGGAUUAGAUACCCCGGUAGUC